CUACGUGCCAGCAGCCGCGGUAAUACGUAGGUCCCGAGCGUUAUCCGGAUUUAUUGGGCGUAAAGCGAGCGCAGGCGGUUAGAUAAGUCUAAAGUUAAAGGCUGUGGCUUAACCAUAGUACGCUUUGGAAACUGUUUAACUUGAGUGCAGAAGGGGAGAGUGGAAUUCCAUGUGUAGCGGUGAAAUGCGUAGAUAUAUGGAGGAACACCGGUGGCGAAAGCGGCUCUCCGGUCUGUAACUGACGCUGAGGCUCGAAAGCGUGGGGAGCAAACAGGAUUAGAUACCCCGGUAGUCCUGGCCGUAAACGAUGGGUACUAGGUGUAGGAGGUAUCGACCCCUUCUGUGCCGGAGUUAACGCAAUAAGUACCCCGCCUGGGGAGUACGACCGCAAGGUUGAAACUCAAAGGAAUUGACGGGGGCCCGCACAAGCGGUGGAGUAUGUGGUUUAAUUCGACGCAACGCGAAGAACCUUACCAGGUCUUGACAU
rnacentral:rRNA from 1 species